CUGGAAGUCUGAAACUGUGAUGGAAAUAAAUAUGGGCGAUGAUAUAUUCUCUGAGGGAUUUUCUGAACAUUUGCAUUUAGCGCACAUAAAAGAGGUUGUUGAUCACGACUAGUUAAGUGCCUUUGCUGUCAUCGUGUAUGCUAGGUAUCUCUAUGACAAGCUUAUUUGUCCUCGUGGAUUAACAUACAAGAUAUCAUUUUUAUCCCCACAUGUAUCAUUUGAUGAUCUUCAAGGAAAAGAUAUAGCAAGGCUAUUGAUGAAAACUAAGGUGUUGAAGGAUGAAAAGAUAAUUCUUGCACCUUAUAAUAUUGGGAUUCGUGGGUUUUGUUUGUCAUCAAUCCCAAUGCUGAGGUUAUAUAUUUUUUGGAUCCGCUCGGUGGCGAACCUUCAGAUCAUGGAAGUAUAAAAACAAAGUUUGAAAAUGCAAUUCAAAUCUACCAUGCCAGGUGUGAAAAUAAAAUCUCCUAGUCAAAGAAAAAUAAAAUCAAAUGGAAUAA